UACGGGGGGGGCAAGCGUUGUUCGGAAUUAUUGGGCGUAAAGGGCGCGUAGGCGGCUUGGCAAGUGGAAGGUGAAAUCCCUCGGCUUAACCGAGGAACUGCCCUCCAAACUGCUUCGCUUGAGACCGGGAGAGGUGAGUGGAAUUCCCAGUGUAGCGGUGAAAUGCGUAGAUAUUGGGAGGAACACCAGUGGCGAAGGCGGCUCACUGGACCGGUACUGACGCUGAUGCGCGAAAGCGUGGUGAGCAAACGGG
rnacentral:rRNA from 1 species